UAGUCCACGCCUGUACACUAUGGAUGCUUGAUGUCGGGGCGUUCGGUCGACCCGGUGUCGUAGCUAACGUGGUAAGUAUCCCGCCUGGGGACUACGGUCGCAAGAUUGAUACGCAAAGGAAUUGACGGGGGCCCGCACCAGCGGUGGUACAUGUGGUUUAAUUCGAUGCAACGCGAAGAACCUUACCUGGGCUUGACAUAUAUAUGGCGUAUGUAAGAAAUUAUGUAUUCUGUCUGUUUUUUCAGAUAGCAUAUAUACAGGUGAUGCAUGGCUGUCGUCAGCUCGUGUCGUGAGAUGUAGGGUUAAGUCCCUUAACGAGCGCAACCCUUGCUUUUAGUUGCCAUCAGGUAAUGCUGGGGACUCUAGAAGGACUGCCGAGGUUAACUCGGAGGAAGGUGGGGAUGACGUCAAGUCAGUAUGUCCCUUAUGUCCAGGGCUACACACGUGUUACAAUGGUCGGUACAGAGUGACGCUAAUCCACGAGGCGGCGCCAAUCACUUAAAGCCGAUCCCAGUUCGGAUUGGAGUCUGCAAUUCGACUCCAUGAAGUUGGAAUCGCUAGUAAUCGCAGAACAGCAUGCUGCGGUGAUACGUUCCCGGGCCUUGUACACACCGCCCGUCACGCCAUGGAAGUUGGGAGUACCCGAAGUUGCUGUCCAUACGUUGGAUGUAACUAAGGUAAGACCGAUAACUGGGGCGAA
rnacentral:rRNA from 1 species